AUAUUUACUUAUCUCUAGACUGGAAGAGAAUUCUUCGCCCUGUCCUAGUGAUCAAAUUCUUUCUAUUUUAAUUUUGUCUGGUAUGAUGUUAAAAGAAGAAAGUUGCUUUUCCUUCACUAUUGAAGUUUUCUGAAUAUAUUUACUUUCUGAUUGUCUUUUGACUGGUUUCUGGCCAAUGAGAUAUGGGUAGAAGUAGUAUGCCACCUCCAAGGUUGUCCCCUCAACCUUCUCUCUUUCCCUCCCAGGUCAACCUUGGAGAUCAAGUACUUUAGAUGGCAGAGCUACACGGAGUAAGAACUAGAUAAUCGUCAAGAGUCAAGGAAUGGGUGAAAUGCCUCCCUCAGGGAAGAGUAUUCCUUGAGAAGAAAUUUUCAGCAGUCCAGAGCAACAUUAAGGCCCUGAGGAAAAAUCGUGGCCAUGGCAUCUUCACUUUGGGACUUGCUACAUACAAACUGCCAGACUCACAUGGAAGAUUCUUUCUUUCUCCCUAUCACGGACAUGGAUGAAAAUACACUGAUGGGGAAAAACUGAGCCCCUUGAGGUAAUCUGAUGCACUCUUUCUACCACUUUUGCACAUCUUAAAUGGGUUUUAAACAUCCCAAAAUGACUCCAAUGUGUUCAUUUCCUGUGGUGGAUUUACAGUGUGUGACAGGAAAUCCAUUUCUUUUCCUGUAGAUGCUAAAUUCAUUACCUUGACACAGAAUGCAGACUCACUUUUUGCACUUGCUGCCAUAGCAACCAGUAUCAGGCAUUUUUUUUUUGUACUUUUCCUUCUACUCAAGCAGGGUGCUGCAAGAACUGUACUCCAUUUAAAAAAUUAUUUUAAAGACACCUAACAGUGUUAUACCAAGGGUCUCUUCACACUAUCACCUCUGUAGACUAUAUACUUCAUAAAUCUAUCAUCGCAUUAUAGACCACAGCGUCCUAAACUAGCAGAGUAUGGCAUUAAGAUCUCUUCACGAGAAGAUUUCCUUUUUUUUUCUUUUUCUAAUUUAUUCACAUCCAUGAGUGCUAUUUGAAAUAAUGGGUGUAAUAUAUUUUCCCCCAUCUAACAAACUGCUCUGCAGAGCAGUGAUUGUUAUUGGAGGCAAAUCCUGGACAGGUUCUAGACUUAAAUGAUCUAAGUGUCGCUGUGACUCUGAAUAAUGUUAUAUUACAAUUCCACAAGAGCUAGAGUGUCAUCUGCUGCUUUCUGCUUCAAAAAAGAGAAGAAUGCCACCAACUCAUCAUGCCAAGUAUUGGCCUAGUUUCCUAAAUGGCAGGGUGGAUAAUUAUAAAAAGCAAAACAAAGUUGAUGGUUUGCCCUGCCCUGAAUAUCAGUCAGGUUGGGUUAGCAUGGUGGCUGAAGAGGAAGAGAAAGAACACUUGAUGUGCUUGCUUGAGUCUUAGGAGGUCUUGCUGUCGAGGGUCCAACAUGAAACAUAUUCACACGUAUCCUAUUGCUAGAGUUUAGGACAUACCUAUCCAAUGGCACAGAGAAAAGCAUACAGAUGCUGGGAAAUUGUAAGCGUGUGGCAUCGCCAGGCUAGUUACCAAACAGCAACAGUCAUCAGAAUUGUAUGUACUAAGGGUUCACACCAUAACGGUGAGGUAGUUUAAUUUACUCUGACUGUUUAACUUUUAUUUUAGUGUGUGAGAGGCAUGGAGGGAUUCUAUUUAUUACCUGAUAGCUACAAUUUAAUUUGAGGUAAAAUAUAAGCAACACAUAAAAAUGCUAACUCUGGGGGCGUCUGGGUGGCUUGGUGGUUGAGUGUCCAACUUCAGCUCAGGUCAUGAUCUCAUAG